rnacentral:rRNA from 1 species
GAUGAACGCUGGCGGCGUGCCUAAUACAUGCAAGUCGAGCGAACAGAUGAGGAGCUUGCUCCUCUGACGUUAGCGGCGGACGGGUGAGUAACACGUGGAUAACCUACCUAUAAGACUGGGAUAACUUCGGGAAACCGGAGCUAAUACCGGAUAAUAUAUUGAACCGCAUGGUUCAAUAGUGAAAGACGGUUUUGCUGUCACUUAUAGAUGGAUCCGCGCCGCAUUAGCUAGUUGGUAAGGUAACGGCUUACCAAGGCAACGAUGCGUAGCCGACCUGAGAGGGUGAACGGCCACACUGGAACUGAGACACGGUCCAGACUCCUACGGGAGGCAGCAGUAGGGAAUCUUCCGCAAUGGGGGAAAGCCUGACGGAGCAACGCCGCGUGAGGGAUGAAGGGCUUCGGGUCGUAAAACUCUGUUAUUAGGGAAGAACAAAUGUGUAAGUAACUAUGCACGUCUUGACGGUACCUAAUCAGAAAGCCACGGCUAACUACGUG